rnacentral:rRNA from 1 species
UGGGGAAUAUUGCACAAUGGGGGGAACCCUGAUGCAGCAACGCCGCGUGAAGGAGGAAGUAUUUCGGUAUGUAAACUUCUAUCGACAGGGACGAAUAAGAUGACGGUACCUGAAUAAGAAGCCCCGGCUAAUUACGUGCCAGCAGCCGCGGUAAUACGUAAGGGGCGAGCGUUAUCCGGAAUUACUGGGUGUAAAGGGUGAGUAGGCGGCACAGCAAGUCAUAUGUGAAAGCCCGGGGCUUAACUCCGGAGCUGCAUAAGAAACUGUAGUGCUAGAGUGCAGGAGAGGCAAGCGGAAUUCUUGGUGUAGCGGUGAAAUGCGUAGAUAUCAGGAAGAACACCGGUGGCGAAGGCGGCUUGCUGGACUGGAACUGACGCUGAGUCACGAAAGCGUGGGGAGCGAACAGG